rnacentral:rRNA from 1 species
AGGGAAUAUUGCGCAAUGGAGGGAACUCUGACGCAGCGACGCCGCGUGAGCGAUGAAGGUCUUCGGAUCGUAAAGCUCUGUCCUUGGGGAAGAAGGGAGCCGUAAGGCUUCUUGACGGUACCCAUGGAGGAAGCCCCGGCUAACUACGUGCCAGCAGCCGCGGUAAUACGUAGGUGGCGAGCGUUAUCCGGAUUUACUGGGUGUAAAGGGCGCGCAGGCGGCCCUGGAAGUCAGAUGUGAAAGAUCAAGGCUUAACUUUGACAGGUCAUCUGAAACUUUGGGGCUUGAGUAUCAGAGGGGAAAGUGGAAUUCCUAGUGGAGCGGUAAAAUGCACAGAGAUUAGGAGGAACACCGGUGGCGAAGGCGACUUUCUGGCUGACAACUGACGCUGAGGCGCGAAAGCGUGGGGAGCAAACA